rnacentral:rRNA from 1 species
CCUACGGGGGGCUGCAGUGAGGAAUAUUGGUCAAUGGACGAGAGUCUGAACCAGCCAAGUAGCGUGAAGGAUGACUGCCCUAUGGGUUGUAAACUUCUUUUAUAAAGGAAUAAAACGAGGCACGUGUGCCGUUUUGCAUGUACUUUAUGAAUAAGGAUCGGCUAACUCCGUGCCAGCAGCCGCGGUAAUACGGAGGAUCCGAGCGUUAUCCGGAUUUAUUGGGUUUAAAGGGAGCGUAGAUGGGUUGUUAAGUCAGUUGUGAAAGUUUGCGGCUCAACCGUAAAAUUGCAAUUGAUACUGGCAGUCUUGAGUACAGUUGAGGUAGGCGGAAUUCGUGGUGUAGCGGUGAAAUGCUUAGAUAUCACGAAGAACCCCGAUUGCGAAGGCAGCUUACUAAACUGUGACUGACAUUGAUGCUCGAAAGUGUGGGUAUCAAACAGGAUUAGAUACCCCAGUAGUC